rnacentral:rRNA from 1 species
UGUUAGCGGCGGACGGGUGAGUAACACGUGGGUAACCUGCCUGUAAGACUGGGAUAACUCCGGGAAACCGGGGCUAAUACCGGAUGGUUGUUUGAACCGCAUGGUUCAGACAUAAAAGGUGGCUUCGGCUACCACUUACAGAUGGACCCGCGGCGCAUUAGCUAGUUGGUGAGGUAACGGCUCACCAAGGCGACGAUGCGUAGCCGACCUGAGAGGGUGAUCGGCCACACUGGGACUGAGACACGGCCCAGACUCCUACGGGAGGCAGCAGUAGGGAAUCUUCCGCAAUGGACGAAAGUCUGACGGAGCAACGCCGCGUGAGUGAUGAAGGUUUUCGGAUCGUAAAGCUCUGUUGUUAGGGAAGAACAAGUGCCGUUCAAAUAGGGCGGCACCUUGACGGUACCUAACCAGAAAGCCACGGCUAACUACGUGCCAGCAGCCGCGGUAAUACGUAGGUGGCAAGCGUUGUCCGGAAUUAUUGGGCGUAAAGGGCUCGCAGGCGGUUUCUUAAGUCUGAUGUGAAAGCCCCCGGCUCAACCGGGGAGGGUCAUUGGAAACUGGGGAACUUGAGUGCAGAAGAGGAGAGUGGAAUUCCACGUGUAGCGGUGAAAUGCGUAGAGAUGUGGAGGAACACCAGUGGCGAAGGCGACUCUCUGGUCUGUAACUGACGCUGAGGAGCGAAAGCGUGGGGAGCGAACAGGAUUAUAUACCCUGGUAGUCCACGCCGUAAACGAUGAGUGCUAAGUGUUAGGGGGUUUCCGCCCCUUAGUGCUGCAGCUAACGCAUUAAGCACUCCGCCUGCGGAGUACGGUCGCAAGACUGAGACUCACAGGAAUUGACGGGGGCGCGCACAAGCAGUGGAGCAUGUGGUUUAAUUCGAAGCAACGCCAAGAAGCUUACCAAGUCUUGACAUCCUCUGACAUUCCUAGAGAUAGGACGUCCCCAUCCGAGGCAGAGCGACAGGUGGUGCA